UCCAGGUUAAGCAGGUGUUUCCAGGCCUUCUGCAGGGAUAUGGAGAGCGAGCACCAGCAGGUGUUUCCAGGCCUUCUGCAGGGAUAUGGAGAGCGAGCACCAGCAGGUGAUUCCAGGCCUUCUGCAGGGAUAUGGAGAGCGAGCACCAGCAGGUGUUUCCAGGCCUUCUGCAGGGAUAUGGAGAGCGAGCACCAGCAGGUGUUUCCAGGCCUUCUGCAGGGAUAUGGAGAGCGAGCACCAGCAGGUGUUUCCAGGCCUUCUGCAGGGAUAUGGAGAGCGAGCACCAGCAGGUGUUUCCAGGCCUUCUGCAGGGAUAUGGAGAGCGAGCACCAGCAGGUGUUUCCAGGCCUUCUGCAGGGAUAUGGAGAGCGAGCACCAGCAGGUGCUUUAUCAUGCUGGGGUCCGCUGGCGCUCCAGGGGUAAACUGUUGAGUCGCUUUUAUGAGCUUCGGACAUUUCCAUUGUGAGGAACGGCUCGCGCAGGUCGCUGGCGGU